rnacentral:lncRNA from 1 species
AUGAGCACCUCUAAACCCCUUCCAGCUCCCACAGCACAGCUGGCAGCAGGAGCAAGAGGCAGAUCAGGUUUAGGAGGAAGCAUCAGCUCACUGAAUCAAAGCCAAGAGGGACAAAAAGGAAGAUUUGCUGGCCAAGUGAGUGCUGCAUGCUAAACCCAUUGCUCCCACAGCAAAAUAUUCCUUUAUAGAGUCCCCUGUGUUUUCUCUCUCUGUGAGUUUUACAAAGCCUCUGUUGGCCAUUUCAGUUCUAACAACGGAACUUGUUUUCUCGGCUCUAAGUUGCAGUUAUUAACAAAAUUACAUCCCACAGCUCCUGAAGAGGCUCCAGCCACUCCAUUUUUUGAGAAAACCCAAAACUUGUCCCUGAUUUUUAUUGCUUUUAACACAUCAGGGAGAAAGACAAGGACUUUAAGCCGUGUUUGUGUAAUAAUGGCAACACUGUGGAUGCUAUUGGGCCUAACUCCUAAAACAUCCCAUCUUUUGUCUCUGGCCACCAGCAGCAGCUUUAUAAUCCCUGCCCCACCAUGGUGCUCUGGAACUCGCCGUGGCCACUGCUGGAAUCCUUGCCAAGCUUUUCAUGGCACCCAGAGAGCAGAGAUUAAAUUCAUAGAGCUGCUCCUGGCCGUGAGCCCUCCUUGGUGGGGCAGGAGGUUCAUUCCUAACACAGCUCUGGAGCUGGCAGGGCUGGUGGAUGGAGGUCUCAGGGAUGGCACAGCCACAGCUCUGGGGGAAUCCUCCUUCCCAGCCCAAGGUGUUUGGGAUUUCCAGCACAGGGAGGGUUUGCAAAGCCCAGCUCCAGGCUCAGUUGAACUUUGCUGUGUAUCAAUGCAGAGAGAGAAACUUCCAAAGGGUGAUUCAAAGCUGACACUGCUGUGACUCAGAGAAAACUGCUUCCCAGAGAGAGCAGGAAGGAUGUGAGCAGCCUUAAAAUUCUUUGUGACUGUCCCCAUCACUCUGGACUGCAAGGUUAUAAAAGGAGUUUUCAAACAAAAAUGUUUUCAAUAGAUUAUUUCUUUUACCUUCUAUUUGUACACCACUGAAAGAG